rnacentral:rRNA from 1 species
GAUGAACGCUAGCGGCAGGCCUAACACAUGCAAGUCGAGGGGUAACAUGAGGUGCUUGCACUUUGAUGACGACCGGCGCACGGGUGCGCAACGCGUAUGGAACCUGCCCUUUACAGGGGAAUAGCCUUUGGAAACGAAGAUUAAUGCCCCAUAGUACCUUCUGUAGCAUUGCAGGAUGGUUAAAGGCUUCGGCCGGUAAAGGAUGGCCAUGCGUACCAUUAGUUAGUUGGUAAGGUAACGGCUUACCAAGACCGCGAUGGUUAGGGGCCCUGAGAGGGGGAUCCCCCACACUGGUACUGAGACACGGACCAGACUCCUACGGGAGGCAGCAGUGAGGAAUAUUGGACAAUGGAGGAGACUCUGAUCCAGCCAUGCCGCGUGCAGGAAGAAUGCCCUAUGGGUAGUAAACUGCUUUUAUACGGGAAGAAACCCACCUACGUGUAGGUGGCUGACGGUACCGUAAGAAUAAGGACCGGCUAACUCCG